rnacentral:rRNA from 1 species
GGAAAUCUGCCUGACGGAGGGGGAUAACUACUGGAAACCGGUAGCUAAUACCGCAUAACGUCGCAAGACCAAAGAGGGGGACCUUCCGGGCCUCUUGCCAUAGGAUGUGCCCAGAUGGGAUUAGCUAGUAGGUGGGGUAACGGCUCACCUAGGCGACGAUCCCUAGCUGGUCUGAGAGGAUGACCAGCCACACUGGAACUGAGACACGGUCCAGACUCCUACGGGAGGCAGCAGUGGGGAAUAUUGCACAAUGGGCGCAAGCCUGAUGCAGCCAUGCCGCGUGUAUGAAGAAGGCCUUCGGGUUGUAAAGUACUUUCAGCGGGGAGGAAGGGAGUAAAGUUAAUACCUUUGCUCAUUGACGUACCCGCAGAAGAGCACC